rnacentral:sRNA from 1 species
AGAAAAAGCAAUGGAGUAACUUUGCGAAUCACGUAACUCCGUAGCUGAUAAUUCCAUUGCUGCGCAUGAGUUGAUCUUCCUUCUUCUUCUUUUAUUGAUACACGCAGUCAUCUCAGCUAUGAUCAGGCCAUUAAUCGGUUAGUGAAGAUGUAAUAAAAUAUAAUGGAGAUUUUCCACGGCUCUAUACUGAGAAAUCGGAGCAUCGAUCGAUUACUUUAAAAUGGAUUAGCUACAAACAAUUAUGAUACAUAUUUAAUUUUGGAUUUGUCUAUCAUUAUUUAUCAACUUGAUCAGCGUUUUGGUAUACUAUUGUACUUGAGACUAUUAUGUUUAUACCCGGAAAAAAUAUAAAAUUAUAUAUAAUUAUAUUAAAAAUUGACAUAUUUUCUGUACAAUUACAUAUGAUUAUUAUAAAAUAUAUAAUAUAUAUAUUUUUUCCCGGAUUUUCAAACAAAUAUACAUAAAAAAGAAAAUGAAAUAAAAUUUAAUGAGGAGUUAGUGUUAUAAAUUAUAUAAAAUUAAUAAAAUUAUAUAAUAUUAAUAAA